ACUCCUACGGGAGGCAGCAGUGGGGAAUAUUGGACAAUGGGGGCAACCCUGAUCCAGCCAUGCCGCGUGAGUGAAGAAGGCCCUAGGGUCGUAAAGCUCUUUCAACUGUGAAGAUAAUGAAGCGGUGAGCAGUAGAAGAAACCCCGGCUAACUCCGUGCCAGCAGCCGCGGUAAUACGAGGGGUUAGCGUUGUUCGGAAUUACUGGGCGUAAAGCGCACGUAGGCGGACUAUUAAGUUAGAGGUGAAAUCCCAGGGCUCAACCCUGGAACUGCCUUUAAUACUGGUAGUCUUGAGUUCGAGAGAGGUGAGUGGAAUUCCGAGUGUAGAGGUGAAAUUCGUAGAUAUUCGGAGGAACACCAGUGGCGAAGGCGGCUCACUGGCUCGAUACUGACGC
rnacentral:rRNA from 1 species